rnacentral:rRNA from 1 species
UACGUAGGGUGCGAGCGUUGUCCGGAAUUAUUGGGCGUAAAGAGCUUGUAGGCGGUUUGUCGCGUCUGCUGUGAAAUCCGGGCUCAACCCGGACUUGCAGUGGUACGGGCAGACUAGAGUGUGGUAGGGGAGACUGGAAUUCCUGGUGUAGCGGUGAAAUGCGCAGAUAUCAGGAGGAACACCGGUGGCGAAGGCGGGUCUCUGGGCCGAAAGCUGACGCUGAGGAGCGAAAGCGUGGGGAGCGAACA